rnacentral:lncRNA from 10 species
UGUGAGGCUAGUACUUUUCAUCAGAUUCGGAAAGUUUUUAGCCAUUAUUUCUUUGAGUACUUUUCCUGUCUCCUCCUAUUUCUCCUCUCCUCUGGCACUCCCAAUAUGUGCAGGUCAGGGUGCUUAGUGGUGUUCCACAUUUCACGGAAGCUCUGUUAGUUUUUUUCUAUCUCUUCUUCAAAUUGAAUACUUUGUAUUGAUUUGUCAUUAAAUUAGUUGGUGAUCUCUUCUGCCAAUUCAAAUCUACCAUCAAACCUCUCUAGUAAAUUUUCCAGAAUUUCCAUUGACACUCCAGUCACAAUAAGUGCACCCAGUGCCCACAUCUUGGUUUCUAAAGUCUCUCUCCAAUAAAAGGAAUCAGAAAUCUUUAGAUAAAUGGCUGAUUCUAGGGCUAGGGUAAGGAUUAUACAAGAGGGGCCUAGAGCAUCGUGUAGUGCCAGGAGGUAAAGAAGUGUUUAAAACCCCCACAAGAAUGAGAUUAUGCCAGAGGGACACAGGAACCAACUGAAAGAGCUCCCAAUAGCCAAAGCUGGAAUAAUCUGAGCAACAAAAUAAAGCACAUGCAGUGCACAAUAGGAGAUCGAGACCAUCCUGGCCAACACAGUGAAACCUAGUCUCUACUAAAAUACAAAAAAAAAGAAAAAAAAUUAGCUGUGUGUGCUGGUGUGUGCCUGUAGUCCCAGCUAAUCGGUUGGCUCAGGCAGGGGAAUCGCUUGAAUCUGGGAGGUGGAGGUUGCAGUGGGCCGAGAUCAUGCCACUGCACUCCAGCCUGGGUGACAGAGCGAGACUCUGUCUCAAAAAAAUAAUAAAUAAAAAUAAAUGUUCACGAAUCCUUACUUGCUGUGGGUGCAUCGUCCUAGAGACAGAGCGGAU